rfam:Marine metagenome 1092955272752, whole genome shotgun sequence.
AGAGUCCUCAUAGGAAAGCGGUUCCCGCCGUAUCCUAAAUCGAGUUUUGAGUGUAUGGAGGUGACGACAUGGACUAAGCGUAAACAGAGAUGAAGCAGGCCGUAAGGGGGUGUCCCCUGAAGUGAUUGAGCCUCGAAAAGUCGAGAUAGAAUGGCCGACACUUUCGCAAUAGUGGAAGGCAACAUCGUUAUACCUGUAAUGGGUAGGGUAUAAUGGCAUUCUCGGGGUCUUAGAGCA